rnacentral:rRNA from 1 species
UACGUAGGGUGCAAGCGUUAAUCGGAAUUACUGGGCGUAAAGCGUGCGCAGGCGGUGAUGUAAGACAGAUGUGAAAUCCCCGGGCUCAACCUGGGAACUGCAUUUGUGACUGCAUCGCUGGAGUGCGGCAGAGGGGGAUGGAAUUCCGGGUGUAGUGGUGAAAUGCGUAGAGAUCCGGAGGAAUACCAGAGGCGAAGGCGCCUUGCCAGGUCUAGACUGACACUCAGACGCGAAAGCAUGGGGAGCGAACGGG